rnacentral:lncRNA from 1 species
CACCCUACUAACAGUGACGGAGAAGCUCAGGCUAAUCAACAGGAUUCCGCUACCAUGGUUGCUGGGAAUGGGCUACCGAACCCAGUAGUAGGUGACAGGGCUGUCGAAGAAGAGCCUCUGGUUCUGGCCAAUGCUAAUCCAGGUACUGCUGAAAUGGGAGUGAGGGCUGCAAGAGAGAUUCCUGCCCGGGAACCAAGUAAUCAUCCACUGCAAAGGCCAGAGAUGAGGGUUCAAAGAUCUGCCGAUGACCGCUUGUUUACAUGGGCUGCCGUUGGACUUACUAUAGCAAUUUUGGUUCUUUUGUUCAAGAAGUUCAUGAAAUCCAGCGGACAUGGUGCUGUUUUUAUGGAUGGUUCGUAGUUCUCGCCUCAAGGAUCUCGGUUGACCUGUACUUGCUUUGCCGUAUUAGUUCAACAAGUAGUAAGAAACCCUUCAAAGACAUU